GGCUGGGAGCGGUGGCCCAGGAGGCCCCUGCCUUCCAGACGGCUGUAGCCCAGAUGCCUUUGCAGCCGGCCUGGCCCCGUCCAACCCGCUGACCUCAUUCCCAGCGCCUCCUCCCUCCCUCGCAGGCUCCUCGCCCUGCCUGCCACGUAGACUCGGCCACAGGGGGAAGGAGAGUGGGACCCAGGUGCCCUGAGCCCAGAGCCCUGCCAGGACCUACAGAGCUGUGGGCAGCCGCUGUGACCACUUGGGGCCUCAGUUUCCUCUCCCCAAACAUGAGGUCCGGUAAAUGAGGGGACUGGGGUGAUGGGAGAAGCCAGAUGAGAAGCAGGGGUGGAGUGAGGAGCGGGGAACCAAGGGGGCUUCCUGGACUCGUGAGAGCCUUCCCCGCCUUCUGGGCUCCCGGGUGCUGUCCUCACAUCUCAGCAUCGCACUGGCUGUCGGGUGCAGAGAGCAGCACGCUGUCCCCUGUCGGGCUCCUCAGAGCCCCCAUCCUGCCCCCCGGCCCGGCGUAUCUGCCUCCCUGCCCCCCAGGUCCUGGUGUUACUGUCCUGAGGAGCUGGGGCUGUCCCUGCCGUCUGCCCAGGCGUUCCCGGCCGGUGAGUCAUCGGGAAUGUCUGCUCUGGCUGCAGUUUCCCCCCUGGCCAGGGACCCUCUCCCUCCUCGCCGGAACUCAGAGUAGAGGGUGCUGCUCCCAGGCAGGGGCUGGGGUGGGAGGAACCCAAGCCCAAGGCUGCCCUGAGGCCCGGUCCCCCACAGGCAGGAAAGGCAGAAGGGGACUGGGGCCUCCAGAGGCCAUGUCCCCAUCACAGAUAGACAGCCUGUCCUGGUGCCUGCUUCCCAGGCAGGGACACCAAGGAAAGCAGCUCGGUGAGGCCCAGACAGAGUUUGAUGUGCUCAGGCUCCCAACACCACACUGUUCGGGGCUCAGCUUUGCAGAACUGGGAGUCUGCUCAAGCCUCUUUUGGAAGGGCCCUCCCCAGUCAGCUGGGCCUGGCAGGGAAAGCUGGAGAGGCCGCCCCUCCACGGAUGAGGCAUCCUGGCUGGGGUGCGGUGUCCACGUCCACAGGAGAGGGGGGCCCUGGAUCAGUUUUUGUUUGUUUGUUUGUUUUUGAGACAGGGUCUCACUAUGUAGCCCAUGCUGGCCUUGAAAUCACUGCGUAGUCCAGGCUGGCCUCAAUAUCACAGCAAUCAUCCUGCCUCAGCCUCCUAAGUGCUGGGAUUACAGGUGUGGAGCACCAUACCCAGCUGGAUUUGUUGUUUAGAGAGCUAGGUUCAGUGCCUGAGUCGUCUACUGACUGUGAGCAUUCACAUCCCAGUACUGUGCCUCAGUUUCCCCAUCGGUAAAACAAGGGGGCUGGACAGAAAGAGUUUCCACUCUCGGAUUAAUCUAUGAUUCUGUGUCUUCCCACUGAGACCGACCCUUGCACUCACAUACACACUCACAGAUACACUCUUCACUCCUACAUUUGGGCACAAUUUUUGUUCCCUUCUGCCUGAGGGCUCCCACACCCCCACAUUGUCACCAUUGCUUCUCCUCCUGAGGUCACAGGCAGGACAAAGCUUGGCCUGGCUCUGGCCCCAGGCUGCACCCUUCGAGGAACUUCUGCUGAGGAGCUGCUCAGAGCUCGGAAGGACCUUCCCGAGAGGAGAGGAGGAGAGAGAGAGACACAGAGAGAGGUGGAGCCAGUUUCCUGGAGUCACAGAGCUGGGAAGUAGCUGCACUGAGAUGAAAACCCAGAAAGUCUCAUGCUUCACUCAGAGACCCAGGACGGAUGCCAAGUGGACCACCCCACCCCACUGCAGAAGUGGCUGUUUGCAGGAAUGCGCUGUCUCCUCUUGGGCUCAUGCACGGGAAGGACCACAGCAUAACGUGGCUGAAACUGACCACAGGCACUAGCCGAGUGGCCAGUCCCAGCUACCCCGCCUCUGCCUCCCGUCUGCCCAGGGGCUACUGUGAGCUGACCACACCACGACACACACAGCAUCUCAUUUAUUUCAUUAAAAAAAAACUCUCCCUCCAUUUAUUUUCCUUUUCUUUUUCUCUAUUUUUCAUUAGUGUAUAUUUGUGACAUAAGAAAUGCAUUCAUCAUGGGGAAUCGGCACCUAUACAAACUCUGGUCUUAAUCCUUUUUACUCCCUUUCUCUCCCCACUCUCCUAUCUCCACCACCCUCAGACUCCCCCUCCCCUCCUUUGCUUUGAUUUAUUGAUCCUUUGUAUUGGGUUUUUUGGUACCGGGAUCGAACUCGGGUCCUUGUGCUUGAGCAGCAGGCAACGAAACCACUAAGCUAAAUCCCAGGCCCUGUAUUGGUUUUUAAUCUCAAUUCAUUAAUUUCCAUUCUGAUCAUUACAAUCUCUUUCCUUCUAUUAGUUUCAGAGUUGGGUUGCUCUUGUCUU
rnacentral:lncRNA from 1 species